AUGGCGGACCGGGAUAGCGACAGUGAUGACAAUGUUAAGUUUGAGUGGGAAAGUGAUGGUGAGGCUGAGCCUUCAUCGGCUCCGGCUUUCAGGAACUCGGAUGCUCCUGGCCCAUCCACGCUGGCCAACGAGGAAGUGCCGUCUACUGCUUUAAUUGAGGAAUAUGUAGCAAUGGGCUUCCCAAAAGAGAUAGUCGUGAAGGGCAUGAAGGAGAUUGGGCAUAGCGAUGCAGAUGCAUUGCUCGAGCUAAUUCUCACAUAUCAGGCACUAGGUGCUGAUGAUGCAGUUGGUAACUGCUCUACUUCUGGCUGCGCUCCUCAGAGUGUUGAAGAAGUUGAUGAUGAUGAUGAUCUUGAUUUUGAGAAUUGGGAUGGCGACGAUGACGAUGUUGGUGGUAGAGGGACCAACUGUGAUGAUCCUGGUGACGAGGAUUUUCUACAAGAGAUGUCACAGAAAGAUAAGAAGAUCAACUCAUUAGUAGGCAUGGGCUUUGCUGAAGAUGAAGCAAAUAUUGCUAUUAGGAGAUGCGGUGUGGAUGCUGAUCUCUGUGUAUUAGUUGAUUCGAUUAGUGCAUCACUGGUUGCAGGAGAUUUCAAUUCCAGAAACAUAUCUGACCAUCAGGUUAUGGAUAGAUGCUUUGAUUCGUUUGGAGGGAGAAAGAAAGCAAGAUUGAUGGAAGAGAGCAAGAAAAGGAGGAUGCAAUAUGCACAAGGCAGUGGACCCUCCUUUGCUGGUAGCCAUGAUGAGCCAACGCGUAUCCCAGAUCCUAUGGUUGGAUUUAAUCUGCCCAGUGACAGAAAACCGUCAAUGACCAGAAUGCUUCCUGAACAAGCUAUCGGACCACCUUUUUUCUACUUUCAGAAUGUGGCCCGAGCUCCAAGAGGUGCAUGGACGACCAUUUCAAAAAAAUUCUAUGACAUUCAACCAGAGUUUGUAGAUUCCAAGUAUUUUUGUGCGGCUUCAAGGGAAAGUGGGUACAUCCAUAAUUUGCCAAUUGAGAACAGAGAAGCUCUUCUCCCUUUCCCACCAAAGACCGUAUUUGAUGCAUUCCCUCAUUAUAAGAAGUGGUGGCCUUCUUGGGACCCAAGAAGGCAGCUCAACUGCUUGCAAGCAAGUGUGGCAACUGCAAAGUUCACAGAUCAAAUCCAGCGUGCUCUUGCAAGAUCAGGCAACCCAAGUGUUCAGAAACAUGUGGUGGAUGAGUGCAAAACUUGGGAUCUUGUCUGGGUUGGGAAAAAUAAGGUUGCUCAGUUGGAGCCUGAUGAGAUGGAAUCUCUGCUCGGUUUCCCAAGGGACCACACAAGGGGAAUCGUCAAGACAGAGAGGUACAGAUCUCUUGCGAACUCCUUCCAAGUUGAUACAGUUGCUUACCACCUAUCAGUGCUGAGGGACAUGUUUCCCAAUGGUGUCAAUGUGCUGUCCUUGUCCACCGGAAUUGGAGGAGGAGUGGUGGCUUUGCACAGGCUUGGGAUCCGCAUGAGGACAGUGGUGUCUGUUGAGAAAGGCGAAACUAAUAGGAGGGUUUUUAAUGGUUGGUGGGAUCAGACCCACCAGACAGGCAAGCUGGUUGAGAUUGCCGACCUGAAAUCUCUCACUAAUGAGAGAAUUGCAUCGUUAGUUGGUAGAUUUGGUGGCUUCGACCUGGUGAUUGGGGGCAGCCAAGGUGAGCAAUCUGGUUUGUUGUACGACUACCCCAGAAUCUUGGAUGCCAUCAAGUCAGCUAUGGCAAGGAUGUAG
rnacentral:rRNA from 1 species